rnacentral:lncRNA from 1 species
AAAAACUUAGCUUUAGUUCCCUUUCUUCGCACAUUAAUAAAAAAAAUACAAAAAUAGUUUCUCUUUUAUUUCGUUCCUAUUCUUUUUUCCCCUCUUAAUAAAUCAGGAAGUCUAACAUUUCUAAGCUAACACUAACACGCACAACUAACCUAAUGGUUCUCGUUGAGUACAACAGACGUGAAGGAUGUUAAUACCUUCCUUUUGCAUAAUUUACUCCCGAACCCUGCUUUGGUUGCGACAACCAAUAUCAUUAUCAU